rnacentral:rRNA from 1 species
GGGGGGGGGGGGGGGGGGGGCGGGGGGAAGGGGGUGGGGCGAGGCGGGGAGGAGCGUGGUGCGUGGGGGGGAGGGGCGGACGGGUGAGUAGCACGUAGGUGACAUACCGAUGAGCCUGGGAUCCAUUCGGGAAGCCGGCGCUGCGACCGGCUCAGCGUUCGAACCGCAUGGUUCGAUAUGGAAAGAUGGCUUUGAUAUACACUAUAGACUGAGCUCCGCCGUAUUAGCUACUUGGGAAGGUAACCGCUUACCAAGGCCACGAUACUGAGCCGAACUGAGAGGGUGAUCGUCCACACUGGAACUGAGACACGGUCCAGACUCCGACGGGAGUCAGCCUUAGGGAAUCUUCCGAAAUGGGCGAAAGCCUGACGGAGCAACGCCGCGUGAGUGAUGAAGGUCUUCGGAUCGUAAAACUCUGUUAUUAGGGAAGAACAAACGUGUAAGUAACUGUGCACGUCUUGACGGUACCUAAUCAGAAAGCCACGGCUAACUACGUG